AGCGAACGCUGGCGGCAGGCCUAACACAUGCAAGUCGAACGAACCUUUCGGGGUUAGUGGCGGACGGGUGAGUAACACGUGGGAACGUGCCUUUAGGUUCGGAAUAACUCAGGGAAACUUGUGCUAAUACCGAAUGUGCCCUUCGGGGGAAAGAUUAAUCGCCUUUAGAGCGGCCCGCGUCUGAUUAGCUAGUUGGUUGAGGUAAUGGCUCACCAAGGCGACGAUCAGUAGCUGGUCUGAGAGGAUGAUCAGCCACAUUGGGACUGAGACACGGCCCAAACUCCGAGGGGGGGCAGCAGUGGUGUAGAGUGCGGAUGGGGAGCAACUCCGGGCAAGCCGGAGGGCUUGAGUGAUGGUGAUGUUUGAGUUGUAAAGUUCUUUCGCGCGGGCCGUUAGUGGCGGUCCCGGGCAAAGUCGCCCCGGCAAUCUUCGCAACAGCGGCGGGGGUAAUAUGAGUACGAACACCCUUCGGCCC
rnacentral:rRNA from 1 species